rnacentral:rRNA from 1 species
UACGUAGGGACCAAGCGUUGUUCGGAUUUACUGGGCGUAAAGGGCGCGUAGGCGGCAAUUCAAGUCAUCUGUGAAAUCUCCGAGCUUAACUCGGAACGGUCAGAUGAUACUGCUUUGCUAGAGUGCAGAAGGGGCAACCGGAAUUCUUGGUGUAGCGGUGAAAUGCGUAGAUAUCAGGAGGAACACCGGUGGCGAAGGCGCCUAUCUGGCCCAAUACUGACGCUGAGGCGCGAAAGCUAGGGGAGCAAACGGG